AUGAGCGUAUCGACAGCACUGCCCGAUUCCCUGAGAACUCUGCCAGGUGCAGUGCAGGUGGAUGCUGUGUGGGUUUAGUGAAUGGUUUCCAAGUAGUGUAAGACUUCAAGAAAAAUCUUGUGAGGCUCCAAGAAGGUGAAAUGAUUUUUAUUGAACAUCCAGUUGGGCAGCUACCUCUUGGAAUGAACAGCAAGUGCCUUGAACAAAGAGGUGUCUGCUCAAGGAAAUGCCCAGGGCAAAGGAUGUGAUGGAUGUAGGGACUUCCGCAAGACCAGACUGUGACCAUUACAGAGAGUGUGAACAGCUGCAAGGAGCCUGUGACCAGGCAAGGUGUGAUCACUGUGGAGCCACCCAGCCUGCGACCAG